AGCCUUCCCCUUCGGGGGACAAAGUGACAGGUGGUGCAUGGUUGUCGUCAGCUCGUGUCGUGAGAUGUUGGGUUAAGUCCCGCAACGAGCGCAACCCUUAAGCUUAGUUGCCAUCAUUAAGUUGGGCACUCUAAGUUGACUGGCGGUGACAAACCGGAGGAAGGUGGGGAUGACGUCAAAUCAUCAUGCCCCUUAUGAUUUGGGCUACACACGUGCUACAAUGGACAAUACAAAGGGCAGCGAAACCGCGAGGUCAAGCAAAUCCCAUAAAGUUGUUCUCAGUUC
rnacentral:rRNA from 1 species